UACGUAUGGUGCAAACGUUAUCCGGAUUUACUGGGCGUAAAGGGAGCGCAGGCGGCGCGCCAAGUCUGAUGUGAAACCCCGGGGCUCAACCCCGGGCAUGCAUUGGAAACUGGCGGGCUGGAGUGCCGGAGAGGUAAGCGGAAUUCCUAGUGUAGCGGUGAAAUGCGUAGAUAUUAGGAGGAACACCAGUGGCGAAGGCGGCUUACUGGACGGCAACUGACGCUGAGGCUCGAAAGCGUGGGGAGCAAACAGG
rnacentral:rRNA from 1 species